AGAGGAAUAGUCUAGUGGUUAUGACGCUCGCUUCACACGCGAGAGGUCACGGGUUCGAUCCCCGUUUCUUCUA
rfam:Cryptosporidium muris RN66 scf_1106632353989 genomic scaffold, whole genome shotgun sequence.